rnacentral:rRNA from 1 species
UACGGAGGAUGCAAGCGUUAUCCGGAAUUAUUGGGCGUAAAGCGUCCGUAGGCGGCUGAUCAAGUCUGCUGUCAAAGCGUGGAGCUUAACUCCAUAACGGCAGUGGAAACUGAUGAGCUAGAGUGCGAUAGGGGUAGCAGGAAUUCCCAGUGUAGCGGUGAAAUGCGUAGAGAUUGGGAAGAACACCAGCGGCGAAAGCGUGCUACUGGGUCUGCACUGACACUGAGGGACGAAAGCUAGGGGAGCGAAAGGG